AACAGUAAAUAUUUCUGUGUAUUUUGCACAUACCUUUGAGUGGUAUUUAAGAUGCCAAACAACUUGUUAAGUUGGGUGAGAGAAGUACUUCCUUCUCAUAGUGUGAGCCUGAUUUAUAUAAUUAGCAUCAUGAUCCUGGAGAGUUUACUGGAGACAGAUUUUGUGUGUCCCUGCCAUCCUCCCUGGAAUCAAAUAUUUUUAGCUGCAGUCGCUUUUAUUCCAGCAUUAACAUUAUUUAUACUUAUGCCGGACAAGUGUGAAUGCAGUUGUGGUGCGAUAUUACAGCGUCUUUAUCUCCCACUUGCAUGGGUGACUAUUGUUUUCAUCGACGGAAAAUAUUUUGCUUGCGCAUUUACAUAUUGGGAAGGAGUUUAUGUGCCCAUUAGCCAAGGUACUUCUCAGAAAUGGUGUAAACCGUGGAAUUCAACAGAGGAAAAUAUUAAACAAUUCAUGACUAAAAAUCAAGAUUUGUACUUUACAUCUCAGGGCAUCGGCUACGCCUGUGCUUUCGCUAUCCCUGUGUUACUUAUCUACCGGAUAGCAAAAUAUCAGUGUCAAAAGUGUUUUGGGGAUCCGGAGACCACCACUGAAGGACCGAAUACCAGGCAGGUCCAGGGCUUAACAAGCACAGCCACAGACAGGACCAACUCCACGCCUUUCUCCGAUGCAUCCCAUGGGCAAAGUGAACAGCUGUUAUUCUCCAGCACAGAGUUAGAAAAUGUCCAUAGACAGAUUAAUCGACUGUGGCAGAUACAGGAAGACAUCAGAAAUAACCUAGAGAUAGCCAAAGUCGAGAUGACUGAGCGUAUAGAGAACAUCAGCAGACUUCAGGCCCCAACAUCAGCAUAUGGCCAGCUACAAGGCAAUGUACCAGAGUCUCCUGAAGACCUACUGUCCCAGGUCUGACCCAUCCAGUCCCAGGAUGUGGAAGGCCAAUCAGAGAGCAGGUACCGACACGUGGCCUCACACUGUAAACACUCUGCCUGCGGGUGACAUGCGUCAGUUACCCAUCACCUUUCCCUCACCAGACCCCCAACCCACUCCCUGCUGAAUAUUGCAGCCAGACCUCCCCACCAGCAUGGCAACUGCAGCAACAGUGAGGAAAUAUUACUGAGGCCCAUCUCCAACUAUUCCACAUCCCCACAGCAAAGAUCUUGUCCACUGAGGAUAAACAAUCUGCUGUCCCCUGAUAGUAUACAGAUGUUGAAGUUCUUGUAUACCAUUUCAAUAGCCGACUCCUACCUGCAUUGUCCCACACUGUAUUCAGACACUACGGAAACCUUCAUUGAGGAUUGGACAGCAACACCAGCUUGCUCUGAAGAGGAUUGCUAGUAUCAUGGACUUACCCAAUGUGAACUCCAACGACCCGUCAGCCUUUGAGAAUUUUGCCCUCCAAGUACUAUAACUGGAUGUUUAAGGCAUUAGGCCCUGCAGGGGGUGUUCAGUUUGAGUGGGGCCCUCAAGUAGCUUGCCAACAGGCAGAAUUUCCCCGCUAUUCAGGUUUUUCAAGCUGACAUCAAAGGUCACAUGACAUGUAAGUCAAACACACUUGUCUCAGACAAGAAUUCACAAUUUCAAAUUAAAAAAUGUGUUACACACCUUCAAAAUCUAAAACUA